AGUGAACGCUGGCGGUAGGCCUAACACAUGCAAGUCGAACGGCAGCACAGUAAGAGCUUGCUCUUACGGGUGGCGGGUGGCGGACGGGUGAGGAAUACAUCGGAAUCUACUUUUUCGUGGGGGAUAACGUAGGGAAACUUACGCUACUACAGCAUACGACUUACGGCUGAAAGCAGGGGAUAUUCAGACCUUGCGCGAUUGAAUGAGCCGAUGUCGGAUUAGCUAGUUGGCGGGGUAAAGGCCCACCAAGGCGACGAUCCGUAGCUGGUCUGAGAGGAUGAUCAGCCACACUGGAACUGAGACACGGUCCAGACUCCUACGGGAGGCAGCAGUGGGGAAUAUUGGACAAUGGGCGAAAGCCUGAUCCAGCCAUACCGCGUGGGUGAAGAAGGCCUUCGGGUUGUAAAGCCCUUUUGUUGGGAAAGAAAAGCAGCAGGUUAAUACCCCGCUGUUCUGACGGUACCCAAAGAAUAAGCACCGGCUAACUUCGUG
rnacentral:rRNA from 1 species